rnacentral:rRNA from 1 species
UACGUAGGCAGCGAGCGUUGUUCGGAGUUACUGGGCGUAAAGGGUGUGUAGGCGGUUCUUUAAGUUUGGUGUGAAAUCUCCCGGCUCAACCGGGAGGGUGCGCCGAAUACUGAGGGACUAGAGUGCGGGAGAGGAAAGUGGAAUUCCUGGUGUAGCGGUGAAAUGCGUAGAUAUCAGGAGGAACACCGGUGGUGUAGACGGCUUUCUGGACAGCAUCUGACGCUGAGACGCGAAAGCGUGGGGAGCAAACAGG